GCCGGGCUAGCUCAAUCGGUAGAGCGUGCGGCUCUUAUCAUCUCGAAUGGUUACCGCAAGGCUGCGGGUUCGACCCCCGCGUUCGGCU